UACAGAGGUCCCAAGCGUUGUUCGGAUUCACUGGGCGUAAAGGGUGCGUAGGUGGUGAGGUAAGUCGGAUGUGAAAUCUCCGGGCUCAACCCGGAAACUGCAUUGGAAACUGCCUUGCUAGAGGAUUUGAGGGGGGAUUGGAAUACUUGGUGUAGCAGUGAAAUGCGUAGAUAUCAAGUGGAACACCAGUGGCGAAGGCGAAUCCCUGGAAAAUACCUGACACUGAGGCACGAAAGCUAGGGGAGCAAACAGG
rnacentral:rRNA from 1 species